AACCCACCAUGGAUGAUGCGAAUUGGUCAGCAGGAAGCUCCAUGAUGAACUUGAACCUUGAUGCAUAUGACAUAUUCCUUGAUGGGGGUUCGACUGAUAGUAAUGGAGAUGAACUUGCAACUAAUGAUCUUGAGACACUCGCAUUUCUUGAGAGGGCCGGUAGACAAGCGCAAUAGAAUCUUAGACGACCACAACAUAAUAUCAUCCUAUGGGGACAUCAAUAUAUUUUGGAAGUUUUGAAUGGGAAUCCGAGGAAUUCUCGCGAGUUAUUCCGAAUGGAGGUUGAUGCCUUCCGCACAUUAUGCAGCUUGUUACGUUCAAAUAGAUUUCUGAAGGAUACGAGAAAAGGGAUGACCGUCGAGGAACAAUUAGGCAUGUUUACAUCGGUAGUGGCGGCUGGAGAUGAACAACGGAAACUAUUAACUCUCAUGUAAGGAAAGUUAUGCAAGCCCUAUGUAGGCUUGGGACACAUCUUAUUUACCCAACUCACACAUCCGAGGUGCACCCAACAAUUGCAGGCAAUCCGAGAAAUUAUCCUUGGUUUGAGGAUGCAUUGGUGCAAUUGAUGGGACCAUGAUUGACGCCAUUGUACCUGCAGAGGUGUGCGAGGCAUAUCGCAACUAGCAUGAGAGAGUUGCCCAAAACUACUUGUGUGUAUGUGACUUGGACAUGAAGUUCACAUUCUUGUACACUGGUUGGGAGGGAAGUUCCCAUGAUGCACGCGUAUUCAUCGAUGCAUUGAGUCAGGGCCGUAAUCAAUUUCCAAUGCCUCUUGAUGGAUUUAUUAAAGUGCUAAAGGAACCAAGGGUUGAGCUUGGAGGUAAUGAUGUGAACGAAGCUAUGGAGCAAGGCACUACUCGGGGAGGGGAGAUAGAUGCCUAGUGGCAGCCUAGGGUUGGGUCAUACUAUGAAGUUGGGUUAUUUUGGUUGUUUUGUAAAAAUGGUUGGGGCAUGUAUUUUGAGAUGCAGUAUUUUGGGAACUGGGUAGAUGUUUCUACCG